CAGAGUUUCUUGCCCUCACGGGUAGACCUCCCACCCUUGAAUACGUUACCUUUGUUUGCUUUGGGCAGGGCCCGCGCCUGCGCCGGAGGCCCCUCGGGGCUUCCGCGUGGCCUGCCAGCAGACCCCAACUCUUGUUUUUUGGUGAUGUCUGAGUAAGCUAUAUAAUAGUUUAA
rnacentral:misc_RNA from 1 species